rnacentral:rRNA from 1 species
AACGAACGCUGGCGGCAGGCCUAAUACAUGCAAGUCGAGCGCUCUAGCAAUAGGGAGCGGCGCACGGGUGCGUAACGCGUGGGAAUAGGCCUUUAGGUACGGAACAACCAAGGGGAACGUUGGCUAAUACCGUACAAUAUCUUCGAAUCAAAGAUUUAUCGCCUAAAGAGUAGCCUGCGUCUGAUUCGCCAGUUGGUGGGGUAAAAGCCUACCAAGGCGACGAUGUGUAGCUGGUUUGAGAGGAUGAUCAGCCACACUGGGAGUGAGACACGGCCCAGACUCCUACGGAAGGCAGCAGUAAGGAAUAUUCCACAAUGGGGGAAACCCUGAUGGAGCAAUACCGCGUGCAGGAAGACGCUUUUCGGAGUGUAAACUGCUUUUAUCUACCAAGAUUAUGACGGUAGUAGAUGAAUAAGGACCGGCUAACUACGUGCCAGCCGCCGCGGUAA